rnacentral:rRNA from 1 species
UAACGCGUGAGGAACCUGCCUUUCAGAGGGGGACAACAGUUGGAAACGACUGCUAAUACCGCAUGACGCAUUUUGAUCGCAUGGUCGAAAUGCCAAAGAUUUAUCGCUGAAAGAUGGCCUCGCGUCUGAUUAGCUAGUUGGUGAGGUAACGGCCCACCAAGGCGACGAUCAGUAGCCGGACUGAGAGGUUGACCGGCCACAUUGGGACUGAGAUACGGCCCAGACUCCUACGGGAGGCAGCAGUGGGGAAUAUUGGGCAAUGGGCGCAAGCCUGACCCAGCAACGCCGCGUGAAGGAAGAAGGCUUUCGGGUUGUAAACUUCUUUUAAGUGGGAAGAGUAGAAGACGGUACCACUUGAAUAAGCCACGGCUAACUACGUGCCAGCAGCCGCGGUAAUACGUAGGUGGCAAGCGUUGUCCGGAUUUACUGGGUGUAAAGGGCGUGCAGCCGGGCAUGCAAGUCAGAUGUGAAAUCUCAGGGCUUAACCCUGAAACUGCAUUUGAAACUGCAUGUCUUGAGUGCCGGAGAGGUAAUCGGAAUUCCUUGUGUAGCGGUGAAAUGCGUAGAUAUAAGGAAGAACACCAGUGGCGAAGGCGGAUUACUGGACGGUAACUGACGGUGAGGCGCGAAAGCGUGGGGAGCGAACAGGAUUAGAUACCCUGGUAGUCCACGCUGUAAACGAUGGAUACUAGGUGU